rnacentral:rRNA from 1 species
CCCUGUCCUUAGUUGCCAGCAUGUAAAGAUGGGAACUCUAAGGAGACUGCCGUAGAUAAUACGGAGGAAGGUGGGGAUGACGUCAAAUCAUCAUGCCCUCUAUGUCCUGGGCUACACACGUACUACAAUGGCUGUAACAGAGGGAAGCGAAGCAGUGAUGUGAAGCAAAACCCAAAAAGCAGUCACAGUUCGGAUUGAAGGCUGAAAUUCGCCUUCAUGAAGCCGGAAUUGCUAGUAAUGGCAGGUCAGCAUACUGCCGUGAAUACGUUCCCGGGCCUUGUACACACCGCCCGUCACACCAUGAGAGUUGGGGAUACCCGAAGCCUGUGAGCCAACUUUAAAAGAGCAGCAGUCGAAGGUAGAAUCAAUGAUUG